rnacentral:rRNA from 1 species
AGUGAACGCUGGCGGUAGGCCUAACACAUGCAAGUCGAACGGCAGCACAGUAAGAGCUUGCUCUUACGGGUGGCGAGUGGCGGACGGGUGAGGAAUACAUCGGAAUCUACUUUUUCGUGGGGGUUACGUAGGGGAACCUACGGUUAUUCCCCAAUCGACCUUCGGGGGAAAGCAGGGGAUUUUUGGACCUUGGGUGAAUUAAUGAGCCGAUGUUGGAUUAGCUUGUUGGCGGGGUAAAGGCCCACCAAGGCGACGAUCCGUAGCUGGUCUGAGAGGAUGAUCAGCCACACUGGAACUGAGACACGGUCCAGACUCCUACGGGAGGCAGCAGUGGGGAAUAUUGGACAAUGGGCGCAAGCCUGAUCCAGCCAUACCGCGUGGGUGAAGAAGGCCUUCGGGUUGUAAAGCCCUUUUGUUGGGAAAGAAAAGCAGCAGGUUAAUACCCCGCUGUUCUGACGGUACCCAAAGAAUAAGCACCGGCUAACUUCGUG